rnacentral:rRNA from 1 species
CCUACGGGAGGCAGCAGUGGGGAAUAUUGCUCAAUGGGGGAAACCCUGAAGCAGCGACGCCGCGUGAGUGAUGAAGGUUUUCUGAUUGUAAACUCCUUUUUUUAGGGAAGAAAAUGACGGUAUCUGACUAAUAAUCCCCGGCUAACUCCGUGCCAGCCGCCGCGGUACUACGGAGGGGGCAAGCGUUACUCGGAUUCACUGGGCGUAAAGGGCGCGUAGGCGGGAGAGUAAGUCAGAUGUGAAAUCCUAUGGCUUAACCAUGGAACUGCAUUGGAAACUGUAAAGCUAGAGUGCGGGAGAGGUAGGUGGAAUUCGUGGUGUAGCGGUAAAAUGCGUAGAUAUCAAGAGGAAUACCAAUUGCGAAGGCGGCCUGCUAGAGCGUAACUGACGCUGAGGCGCGAAAGCGUGGGGAGCAAACAGGAUUAGAUACCCGUGUAGUC